ACAGCAAGGCCCUGAUUCCCUCGAGAAGAGGCUCGACAUCUCUCUUCCGUCCCGUCGACCCUUGAAGCGAUUGCCAGCGAUUGCCAGCAUGGACGAUGAUGUACAGCCGGCUGUCAGUAGGCCUGCACAUGGACGCAGUUCGAAGCAAGAGAAGGUGAGGACUUGGCGCGAAUGACGUCGGUGCGGAGUUUGUGAGUCAAGGCGCCUCCAGCGGCUAGGACGCGCACCUGGACAAUUCAAUGUGAUGUGUUUCCGCCUGCGAUGGGCUUUCAGUCACGGGGCGCAGCUCGCAGCAACUGCGUAGGGACUGGCCCGACCAGGCUCAGCAGGGUAUUUGGGGGUCAUGUGCGCUUAGGCUUUUGAACUUUAUGAUUCGGCGGCAACGGAUGCCAUCCAGCUGAGGUUCGGGGGAGGUGUGUGAGGGACACGCGGGCGGACUGAGGCUGCGACACUGGGGUUUCCUGCUCGCCAUCGCGACAUAGCAGUUUGGAUGGUAAUGCACAUGCAUCUGAAGUGCGGUGAUCGCGAGCGGCCAGCCGCCCGGGCGUGACUGAGGCAAUUUAGAUGCGCCAUCAACACCGUUGAAGCCGGCUCCACUGCCUGCCGCAACGGCCCCGGUCAGAAAGUAAUCAUCUUAACAAGGGUAGUUAAAAGUGUUUAUUUGGGUGCCACAAUGGUUCAUCGAAGUGUUUUGCGCAAAAUUCAAACGACACCGACCGCCGGAGGGUUGGGCGGCUAGGUGUGGCGGAAGUGCCCUGCUGGCGUGUUGCGCUGGCGGCUCGUCCCCCGGCUUGAAC
rnacentral:lncRNA from 1 species